CAAGAAAAAUAUGAGUUGCUGAGACUGAAUACAUCAAUUGAGUCUAAAGAACCGCAUUUUUUACGAAACAAACCUAUAUGUCUAAAAUUCAGCUGGAAACGGCUUCUAAUACCCAUAGACUGAUGAGCAAAAGGAGGAAUCCACCCAACGAAGGGCUCGCGUCUGUCUAUCUAGUGGUGAGCCACUAGCUUACCAAGGCGAUGAUCAUUUAGCUAUUCCAGGAGAAUGAUCAGCCACACUGAGACUGAGACACAGGCCAUACUCCUACUGGAGGCCG
rnacentral:rRNA from 1 species